GGACCAGGUCACUACUAGGGAGACGCCCCCAUGCUUGGGUGCGGGAGGAUUUCAGAGUGAGGAGCCCACACGGGACUUGAGCAGCCUGGAGCAUCAGCCACGUGACGCUGGGAGCCUGGGGGAGAACACAGAGCCCUUGGCUGCCGGAAGGUUCCAGUAUGCCCUUGGCCUGGCAGAUGUCAUCAAUGGCCAGGUGCCUGUAAUACCAGUACUUUGGGAGGCCGAGGAGAGAGGAUCGCUUCAGCUGUGGAGGUCAAGGCUGCAAUGAACCCUGAUCACACCACUGCACUCCCCCUGGGCAAUGGAGCAAGACCCUUUCUCCAAAAAAAAAAAAAAAAAAAAGUCAUCAGUUAGCCUCAUAUCAGCACCUGCUCCCCGACCACCACCACCACCACCACCACCACCACCACCACCAGCCUCUUGGGACUCGAGUGUUCUGGUAAGAGGGGGAGAGGACUGUGGCUUAUCUCAACACUUAGACAUCAUCUCCAGCAUCUCCUUCACCUGCAGCAAGGGGCCAACCCUCAGUACCAGCGUGCGCCACCUCCACUGUUUCCCCAAAGUCGGCCCACUCCCGAGGUGGGGAAGCUCCUAUGGCACUGCAUCCCAUCCCAGAAUAUGCUUAUUACAAAUUAUAAUCACCUGUGUACAAGUCUACCUCCCCAAGGAGACCAUGGGGCCGGCACGUGCCUUUUCCGUUCUUCAUUCAAGUGUUCAUGCCUGUCUCUCUCACCUGAUAAGGCGAGGAGGAGUUUCUGCUCACUAGUCCUUUCCCCGCCCCCGUGGGCCGCAGAGCACCUGACACCAUCCAGAGGUUCCCGUGGCUCCAGGCUUCUCUCCAUGCUACCAGCCAAUUUCUGAGCCCUGUCUCUGAGCCAGACCCGUGCUCGGUAUGUACAUGGAGUGCGUUAUUCCAUCCUUACGACCUAGGAGACAGGAACUGCCAUUCUGUGAGGUAGGGGCCGUGAGCCUCGUUUUACAGAUAAGAAGGAGGAGGCCCAGGAGAGGUUAAGUCGCUCAGCCAAAGUUACGGCAGGGAAGUCCCGGGGCAGGGACUCAAACCCAGGCUGUGUGGCUCUGGCUGCCACACCCUGAGCCCCUAUUCGAGACCGCGCCUAUGACAGCAUCCGUCACACUGUGUUAUAGUUGUUUCUGUCUUCCCCUCCACGGAGCUUCUCCUGGAGGGAGACAGUCGACCAGAAGAGUGAAGAAUGCAGGAACGGCUGAUUGGAAGCGGGGAGCCUUUGUCUUGCUCAGCUGACAUUGUCCACCAGGUGGCAGUCACAGCUCCCGGAUAAAGUCGUCCCUUUUCAUUUGCCCCCUUCCCCUUUAAGAAGGAAACCCUUUUUUCCCCCGACGCCGCCUCCCUCAAUUUUUAUUAUUACCAAGAAGUGAAGUGAGUAGCCUCAACUCAAAACACGACUCCCUGCCUGAGCUUUUUGAAAACGGCACUUGGAGAAGGUGCGUCUCCAACCCCCGUGAGCCGCGGCGCAAGCGGAGAGAAGCAGGCGGGCUUGGGGGUGCGCAGCCUGGGAGCCCAGGAUCCAUGACGUGAGAUGGAAUUUCAGCCCACAAAAGAGGUGACUGGCUCCUCCCUCCCCACCCCUCAUCAAGCAGCUGCAGGAGCCGAGUUAACCAAACGGUGCAUAUUCCUAGUCAUGAAUUCCAUUUGGCCAGCAGCAGGUCUGGGACAUAUGGUCCUCUGAGGACACCUCGGGGAUGGCUGUCAGGAAAGGGCCUACCCACCUCAUCUGCCUGAAAUGCUGUUCCUUCACCCUCCGCUGGUUCUGCCACAGCUUCUGGCAGCUUCCAUUGUGUUCCCAAGAGUGGAAAGGGGACUGAUUCGCGGGGAGUGGGGAGCUGGAACACACCUUGCUCCUAAGUCCCCUAACUUUCAAAAUGCUAACCCCAGGACUGCUCUGUGAAGGAAAGAGGCCCAGGCCAAUUCCAUGUGUUGAGGGGAAGAGAGAUUUCCUUUUUUAUAAUAAAGAAAUUGUGGGCCGGGUGCGGUGGCUCACGCCUCUAAAUUCCAGCACUCUGGGAGGCCGAGGCGCGCGGAUCACCUGAGGUCAAGAGUUGGAGACCAGCCUGGCCAACAUGGCGAAACUCCGUCUCAACUGAAAAUAUAAAAAUUAGCCAGGUGUGGUGGCACACGCCUGUAAUCCCACCUGUUCAGGAGGCUGGGGCGGGAGAAUCGCUUGAACCUGGGAGGCAGAGGUUGCAGUGAACCGAGAUGGCGCCACUGCACUCCAGCCUGGGCGACGGAUCAAGACUCCAUCUCAAAAAAAAAAAAAAAAAAAAACACACAGAAAUUGAUAUAUUUUAAAUGUGUAUGUUAAACAAAUAAAUAAAUGCUAUUAACCCUCAAAG